UCCUCUCUCUCUCUCUCUCUGCGUGUCGACCGUCUGCUGUGUCCGAUGGGAUCGGUCGGGGGCUGCGGUGGAGGGUUGAUGAUGGUGCGAAUGGCUGACAGAAGAGAGUGAGCACACAGCGGCAGACUACGUCUGGUAAAGAGGACGGAUGGAUGCGAAGAGAGAUAUAGACGCAGCUGCUGUUGCGUGCUCACCCUCUCUCUGUCAGCGUUCCGCCAUCAAUCAAUCUAUCCAUCCAUCUCCCCUUGCCGUUCCCAUCGCUUCGCAGCUCGACUGCC
rnacentral:pre_miRNA from 1 species